GAUGAACGCUGGCUACAGGCUUAACACAUGCAAGUCGAGGGGAAACGACGGGGAAGCUUGCUUCCCCGGGCGUCGACCGGCGCACGGGGGAGUAACGCGUAUCCAACAUGCCUCUGACUGAGGGAUAACCCGUCGCAAGUCGGCCUAAUACCUCAUGGUAUCGUCUGCGGGCAUCCAACGACGAUUAAAGAUUUCAUCGGUCAGGGAUGGGGAUGCGUCUGAUUAGCUUGUUGGCGGGGUAACGGCCCACCAAGGCUACGAUCAGUAGGGGUUCUGAGAGGAAGUUCCCCCACAUUGGAACUGAGACACGGUCCAAACUCCUACGGGAGGCAGCAGUGAGGAAUAUUGAUCAAUGGGCGAUAGCCUGAACCAGCCAAGUAGCGUGCAGGAAGACGGCGCUAUGGGUUGUAAACUGCUUUUAUGCGGGGAUAAAGUGAGGGACGUGUCCCUCAUUGCAGUUACCGCAUGAAUAAGGACCGGCUAAGUCCGUG
rnacentral:rRNA from 1 species